UACGUAGGGUGCAAGCGUUGUCCGGAAUUACUGGGCGUAAAGCGCACGUAGGCGGCUUUGUAAGUCAGAGGUGAAAGCCUGGGAGCUCAACUCCAGAACUGCCUUUGAGACUGCAUCGCUUGAAUCCAGGAGAGGUGAGUGGAAUUCCGAGUGUAGAGGUGAAAUUCGUAGAUAUUCGGAAGAACACCAGUGGCGAAGGCGGCUCACUGGACUGGUAUUGACGCUGAGGUGGCGAAAGCGUGGGGAGCAAACAGG
rnacentral:rRNA from 1 species